rnacentral:rRNA from 1 species
AGAGUUUGAUCAUGGCUCAGGAUGAACGCUAGCUACAGGCUUAACACAUGCAAGUCGGGGGGAAACGAUAGAGAAAGCUUGCUUUUUCUAGGCGUCGACCGGCGCACGGGUGAGUAACGCGUAUCCAACCUGCCCACCACUUGGGGAUAACCUUGCGAAAGUAAGACUAAUACCCAAUGACGUCUCUAGAAGACAUCUGAAAGGGAUUAAAGAUUUAUCGGUGAUGGAUGGGGAUGCGUCUGAUUAGCUUGUUGGCGGGGUAACGGCCCGCCAAGGCAACGAUCAGUAGGGGUUCUGAGAGGAAGGUCCCCCACAUUGGAACUGAGACACGGUCCAAACUCCUACGGGAGGCAGCAGUGAGGAAUAUUGGUCAAUGGGCGAGAGCCUGAACCAGCCAAGUAGCGUGCAGGAUGACGGCCCUAUGGGUUGUAAACUGCUUUUAUAAGGGAAUAAAGUGAGUCUCGUGAGGCUUUUUGCAUGUACCUUAUGAAUAAGGACCGGCUAAUUCCGUGCCAGCAGCCGCGGUAAUACGGAAGGUCCGGGCGUUAUCCGGAUUUAUUGGGUUUAAAGGGAGCGUAGGCCGGAGAUUAAGCGUGUUGUGAAAUGUAGAUGCUCAACGUCUGCACUGCAGCGCGAACUGGUUUCCUUGAGUACGCACAAAGUGGGCGGAAUUCGUGGUGUAGCGGUGAAAUGCUUAGAUAUCACGAAGAACUCCGAUUGCGAAGGCAGCUCACUGGAGCGCAACUGACGCUGAAGCUCGAAAGUGCGGGUAUCGAACAGGAUUAGAUACCCUGGUAGUCCGCACGGUAAACGAUGGAUGCCCGCUGUU